rnacentral:rRNA from 1 species
AUUGAACGCUGGCGGCAUGCCUUACACAUGCAAGUCGAACGGUAACAGGUCUUCGGAUGCUGACGAGUGGCGAACGGGUGAGUAAUACAUCGGAACGUGCCCGAGAGUGGGGGAUAACGAAGCGAAAGCUUUGCUAAUACCGCAUACGAUCUCAGGAUGAAAGCAGGGGACCGCAAGGCCUUGCGCUCACGGAGCGGCCGAUGGCAGAUUAGGUAGUUGGUGGGAUAAAAGCUUACCAAGCCGACGAUCUGUAGCUGGUCUGAGAGGACGACCAGCCACACUGGGACUGAGACACGGCCCAGACUCCUACGAGAGGCAGCAGUGGGGAAUUUUGGACAAUGGGCGCAAGCCUGAUCCAGCCAUGACGCGUGCAGGAUGAAGGCCUUCGGGUUGUAAACUGCUUUUGUACGGAACGAAAAGACACCUUCUAAUAAAGGGGGUCCAUGACGGUACCGUAAGAAUAAGCACCGGCUAACUACGUGCCAGCAGCCGCGGUAAAAC